AUAGCCUCUGGCUAUAGGAAAUUGUUAGUGGCAGACGGGUGAGUAAUGCGUAGGAAUCUACCUAGUAGUACGGAAUAGCCAUUAGAAAUGGUGGGUAAUACUGUAUAAUCCCCGAGGGGGAAAGAUUUAUCGCUAUUAGAUGAGCCUACGUUAGAUUAGCUAGUUGGUGAGGUAAUGGCUUACCAAGGCUAUGAUCUAUAGCUGGUCUGAGAGGACGAUCAGCCACACUGGAACUGAGAUACGGUCCAGACUCCUACGGGAGGCAGCAGUGGGGAAUAUUGGACAAUGGGCGAAAGCCUGAUCCAGCUAUGCCGCGUGAGUGAAGAAGGCCUUCGGGUUGUAAAACUCUU
rnacentral:rRNA from 1 species